CAAGAUUAUAAUAGUGUGUGUAAGACCAAGUAUGAAUUCUGUCCCAGGUGGCCCCUCAUAGUUAAGGGAUGCUUACCGUGAUGCUACUGUAUCUAACAGGAUUUAGUUUUCACCUACAGUAGUAGGUGAAAACUAACAUAUUGUUGUAUAUUGUUUUUGUAUUUUUGUAGAUUAUUGACAUUGAAACUUUUAAUAUUUAUCAAUAACGUUACUAUUAUAUUAUUAUAUUAAGGGAGAGAGGAAAAUGAGAGGGAGACAGUUGACGGAAACAAGGAAAAUGAGAGUGAAAAUGAAGAAAGUUCGGAGGCAAGGGAGACAAAGCAGAGAAAGGCAAAAACAGUUGUUGAGUCUGGUGAAGAAAAUGAUGACACACAUGAAGGGGACGACAAAAUGACAACGCAAACACCACCAACAGUUGAAGAACUCACCGAAAGUGACAGUGAAGAACAACUUUCAGCGACAAUGACAAGAAGGAGAAAAGUAAAAACAGCUGUUUACUCUGGAGAUGAAAGUGAUGACACAAAUGAAGGAGAUUUCAAAAUUACAAUUCAACCAUCACCAACAGUUGAAGAACUCACCGAAAGUGACAGUGAAGAACAACUUUCAGCGACAAUGACAAGAAGGAGAAAAGUAAAAACAGCUGUUGACUGUGGAGAAGAAAGUGAUGACACAAAUGAAGGAGAUUUCAAAAUUACAAUUCAACCAUCACCAACAGUUGAAGAACUCACCGAAAGUGACAGUGAAGAACAACUUUCAGCGACAAUGACAAGAAGGAGAAAAGUAAAAACAGCUGUUGACUCUGGAGAAGAAAGUGAUGACACAAAUGAAGGAGAUUUCAAAAUUACGAUUCAACCAUCACCAACAGUUGAAGAACUCACCGAAAGUGACAGUGAAGAACAACUUUCAGCGACAAUGACAAGAAGGAGAAAAGUAAAAACAGCUGUUUACUCUGGAGAAGAAAGUGAUGACACAAAUGAAGGAGAUUUCAAAAUUACAAAUCAACCAUCACCAACAGUUCAAGAACUCACAGAAAGUGACAAUGAAGAAGAACAAAUUUCGGAGACAAAGGGAGAAGAGCACACAAAAAAAAAUGAUAAAGAGGACACGUACAGGACGUGCGUAGUCGGUCCAAAAGAAUUCAAAUUUAAGGUCGCAAGAAAAAAUUGGAUAAAAAUAAAGCCGGAAAAGGGAAAAAGACAACUGAGACCCCCAUGGACCGAUAUAUUCUACAAUGAAUUUAGAAAAAGCAACCCAUCGUGCACAUUGGCCUUUAAGUACCAAAAUAUUAGAACACGUGACAGCCGGAAAAAAAAAUCACCAUACCUCCGCGCCACAGCCAAGUGCACGUUUGAAGGUUGUGAGGCGGUUUACACUUUCACCAGGAAAGGCCCACCAAAAUACAACGCAAAAAAGAUUACUGUCAUGGUGACACGGUUUGGGGAAGUCAAACACCUUAAGUCUCAGAGAAAAUGUAGGCCUGCAAGAUACCUCAGGAGAGGAAAAAUAGCAAAAGCAGUAAAAAGUGGUGUGAGCAACUGCUAUUACGAAUUGCUGAAAAACACACCUGUGGAGGAGAUCAUGGCUGGUAACAUAACCAGAAGCCUCACAAAAGACGUGUUAAAAAUCAUAUCUUACGAGAUCAGAAGCGUUGCAAGGCUUCACAAUGACCAAUUGUUGGAGCUAAUGCUCACUCAGAGGAUUAUCAGAGAGAGUGGUCGGCAAACUCGGCAUGCAUCAUCGAACGGCUAUCUGCAGCUCCUCCAGAUUGACCCUUUUGCAACCCACUUAUACACUGAUGCGGGCCUGCAAAUUUUGGCUGAACAUUUGAGAGGACCCAUGCCCACUACCCUAUACCUCGAUGCAACAGGUGGGGUAGUUCAGAAAGUACCCCAUCAGUCAAAAAGAGUUCUCUAUUAUGCCCUGGUUCUGCCUGGAAUGGGCAAGGACAAGCCGCCUUUGCCAGUCGCGGAGUUCGUGACUAACAGCCAUAGUGUUCCAUCAAUAUCGCACUGGCUUAUGGAGUUCAAUAGGAGGCUGUCCCACAUUACCGGGAGAAAAAUUGCACAAAUAGAGACAGAUUACAGCUGGGCGUUGAUGAACAGUGUGCUCAUCUCUUUUAACCACGAGGAUGUCUCUGCAUACCUUUGCAGAGCAUUCGAAAUUGUGUCGGGACAACUCAAAGUCAUUCCAAAAUUCACUGUGCUCCAUUUGUGCUCUGCACAUAUACUUAAGGCAGUCUCCCAGGCCUUUGGGAGAACAACCAGUGACAGAGGCAUAAAGGAGUAUGCAACAUACAGUUUUGCAUACCUGCUGAACUGUACAAGCUUGCCAGAAGCACUUGAGGUUUUCUACCACAUGUGUGUGCUGUUUGAUGCAGAACAGCACACAGACUCAAUCAAUACCAGUGAAAGGUACCUGAAUGGCUGCAUUUUGCAGAGUCAACACAUGGAUAUUGAGGAAACACAAGAGGGGAGCAGGAUCUGUGAUUCCAGUGACCCUUCCAAUGGCAUUCUCGCAAGGUCCCCCUUCAUGCAGGCUUUUGACCUAAGAAGGGAGCAAGCCACAUGUGACGUCCUGUCUGAUGAGGAAGCAGACAAAAACAACAACUACCACUGCCCAGGUAUAAUAAAUGUCUUGCUUAAGACAUACAUGGGCAUCUUUCCCUUGUGGAGUGGUGUACUACUCGCUGAUCUAUCGAGGCACUCUAAAGGAUCUAUCACAAGAGGAACAGGGUGCAAAACACGGGAAACCAACUGCCAUGUCGAACUAUGGUUUAGGUUGGUGAAACACAGCAUUCUGUGCAAAAGAAAAUACCUCAGACCUGCAGAGUUUGUCUCUAAAAUGUUUGCCUCAGUGCAGGGGAGGUAUGUUGAACAUGUGAUUCAACAAAGCCUGCCAAUUGAUGUACUUCAGAGAAACCUUCAAAGCUCUGUUAAGCUGGAAGAUGACCCAGAAGAGCAAUGGUGUAAGAGGGACACCUCUUCUGGCAGUUCAAAGCGCAAGUCAAAAUAUUUCAAUCCUCCAAAAAACAUUCCAAACCCCAAGACCAAGACCAAAAGCAAGAAGAUCAUAAAAGUGGAGCAGAAUCAACGGGUUGAAGAUGCACAAUUAAACUUGCUGUGGAAAAAGAGGGGAACAGAGAUAAUUGUUGCAACCCUGCCAUCCCAAGUGAAGGGUCGGAGCCUCUUCAUCCACCACACUGAUCUACGGUGUCUACGACCCCACCUGUGGUUGACAGGAGAGAUAAUUCAGGGAUUGCUGCAUCUCAGUGCCUUCACGUACAACGUGGUGGACACCAUUUACCUAAUGGAUUAUUACACCGCAGGUGUACUUUUAUUUGGUGACAGAGCUACUACACGUCGCCACACUUUACCUAAGGUAAACUUCGAUAACUUUGACGGAAUCCUGUCAUUUGUCCACGUGAACAAAAAUCACUGGAACAUGCUGUACAUUCAUGCAAAGUCUGGUACUGUGUACCAAAUGGAUCCCUCACCAGCAUCCUCUGAGCUUGAGGACUCUACCCAUGCGGCUCAGAGACUACAGGAAUACUUGAAGAUUAGAAAACAUCAGGGGAAAACUGACUGGGUGGAUGUGAAGUGGAAAGGAGGAGUGAUGCCCCACCCAGUGCAAAUGGAUGGUUGCAGCUGUGGUGUCAUUGUUGUUGAAAUAUACAAGAUGAUUUCAAAGGAUAAGUUCACUAUUGUGUACUUUGAGCCCCCUUUCUCGGUUGGCUAGGAUGAAAUAGAAUGGUUGACACUGAAAUGUUGACGUUUGGUCCUGUCUCUGGAUGGCCAGAGCAGUGAUGGAAGCCUUCCCUGAGUUCCCCAAAAUGAACUUCUCAACAAAAAGGAGAGCCAUGGAAGAGGCGAGGAGAGAUAUGGCUCUCCAAGUCCUUGAAUCAUCAGUCUUUGAUGAGGAGACUUGUUCGAUGUGUGGAGCUGACAAGCCCCCUGGACAAGCACCUCCCGUUACAGACUGGAUCCAGUGUGAUAAUUGUGACCGGUGGUUCCAUAACCUUUGCUUGAACAUGGACCAAAAUAAGUUAAAGGAACUCAAGAAAAGGCAAUGGCUGUGUGUUUUAUGCCGAUGACAAGGUUGAGGAAAAUUGUGCCUCGUCCAAGUGCCAGGUUUUGUUUAGAAAUGUGAUUAAAAAAAACGUAAAAGGCGUGUUAACAUCAGAAGAUGUGGAAAGCAUGAAUGGGGAGGGGAGACACACACACACACACACACACACACACACACACACACACACACACACACACACACACA